AGAGUUUGAUUCUGGCUCAGGAUGAACGCUAGCGAUAGGCUAACACAUGCAAGUCGAGGGGCAGCACAUGAAGUAGCAAUACGGAUGGUGGCGACCGGCGCACGGGUGAGUAACGCGUAUGCAACCUGCCUACAACAGGGGAAUAACCCGUUGAAAGACGGACUAAUACCCCAUAACACAGGGAUCCCGCAUGGGAAUAUUUGUUAAAGAUUUAUCGGUUGUAGAUGGGCAUGCGUUCCAUUAGCUUGUUGGUGAGGUAACGGCUCACCAAGGCAACGAUGGAUAGGGGAACUGAGAGGUUUAUCCCCCACACUGGUACUGAGACACGGACCAGACUCCUACGGGAGGCAGCAGUGAGGAAUAUUGGUCAAUGGACGCAAGUCUGAACCAGCCACGUCGCGUGAAGGAAGACGGCCCUACGGGUUGUAAACUUCUUUUGUAAGGGAAUAAAGUGUAGUACGUGUACUAUUUUGCAUGUACCUUACGAAUAAGGAUCGGCUAACUCCGUGCCAGCAGCCGCGGUAAUACGGAGGAUCCGAGCGUUAUCCGGAUUUAUUGGGUUUAAAGGGUGCGCAGGCGGGAGAUUAAGUCGGCGGUGAAAUUUUGCAGCUCAACUGUAAAAGUGCCUUCGAAACUGGUUUCCUUGAGUGUGGAUGAAGUAGGCGGAAUUUGUGGUGUAGCGGUGAAAUGCAUAGAUAUCACGAGGAACUCCGAUUGCGCAGGCAGCUUACUAAACCAUAACUGACGCUCAGGCACGAAGGCGUGGGGAUCAAACAGGAUUAGAUACCCUGGUAGUC
rnacentral:rRNA from 1 species